rnacentral:lncRNA from 1 species
GAAAAAUCCAAAUAAGGAAAAUAGGUCACUAUUAAACUGUUUAUUUAUGAAACCAUGUACACCUUUUAAGAUAAUGGUUAAUAGAAGAAUCAAAACAAUUUUAAGUACUUUUUUCUUUUGUCCGUGUUCUUGGACAUCAAUCUGAUCAGAUGAUUACUAUUGUCAGCAUAUCUAAUCUUAAGGAACCCUUAGUAUCUUCCAUUUAAUGCUGUUUCCUGAUCUGCUCCUGAAGCUUCUCCUCUCCAAGAUGUUAAUUCUUCUCUAGGCAUGAUUGGUGGCCCCUUCUCUAUUUUUUUUUUUUUUUUUGGUCACAUAUUGUUCUGCAGAAUUUUUAACAUUUUAAAUCCAACCCAUUCACUUAUCCACCUACUUACCAUCCUGAAAUUUAUUAUAUUGUCUAAUUUCAUAUUAGUUUAAUAAUUAUCCACGUGUAUAUUGUUAUGUACAUCACUAAGAUUUGAAGUCCAAGAUGACAAAACUUCUUCAAACAUUUUUUUUCUUUUACCAACACCAGCACCUUGAAUAGUGUUUGGUGUUGAUACUUAAUAUAAAUUUUUCCCAAAUGUAUUUUAAUUACACCCAACAAAAAUAUCAUAACAUUUUAUUACAUGAUAGAAAUAAAAAAGCUAAGUAGCUAAUAUUUAGUUAAUUAAAGAUGUAUUAACUAGUAGUACCAUAUUUCUAAAACAAUUUCAGUUACGAUAAUUUAUUUCAGAUAAGUGACAGUCCUCAUUUUGAAAAUAGUAGCAAGAGUCAAUGACUUUUUGCAAUUUUGACAGAUGCCUACAUCUUAGGUAUUACUUACUACAUAUUUUUAAAUACUGUUCUUAACUUCAUUAGAAAAUAUUGAAAAAUAUGGGUUAAUUUAAUUAUUUCUAAAGGUAUGCACAUCUUUUUU